AUGGGGAAGGCUGGUGGGAGGAGGGUCCCUCUGUCCCCUGGGGGUGACUUGUAUGAAGUGGCCUAUGGCAAACCCAGCCAGGCCCCUCUGAGAAAGAGGGCGAUUUUGCAGCCCAGGAGGAAGUGGGGACUGAUUGGAGACAUUCUGCAUUGCCCUCCCUGGGCUCUUCCUUGGGGGCUGUGUAUUUCACUUGUUUAUUGGGUGCAUUCCUUACAGUCACCUCCCCCAGGAAGCCCCCAGGAGGGCCUCUACUCUGUCCAGCCCCUCUUCCUGGAGUUUGUCUUUUGCCCACCUGCACCAGGAUGUAGCGGCAGCCUGAGCCACCCCGGAAGGAGAAGCUCCAUCUAUCAAAGAGACCGCACCGCCCUGGAUCAGCACGUCCUCGAAGCCCAACAUCACCCGGACCUGGGGAGGGCCACAGUGAAAACGGGAGGACGGUGUCCGGGGCGUUCCAGGAGUGGAGGCAUGUGCAAUGCCGAGGAGAAGGGGCUGAGACUGACAAAGACAGCGGGCGAGGUCCGGAGGAGACGGAUCCGAGGGCUGAGGACAGCGAAGCCCUCCACACCCAAGUCCCAGAGGUUCCCGGGGCUCGCCCCCUUCUCUCGCCGCGGCUCGCCCCCUUCUCUCGCCCCUCACCCCCUGCAGCCUCAGGGUCAGCCUGGCCCUCUCCUCUCCCCGGGGACCUGGCCCCCAGCCUGCGGCUCCCCAAUUUCUACACCGGGGACCCAGCUCGCUCGUCUCCCUCCACCUCCCAGGGGUCCCGUCCCGGGUCCCAGAUCAAGUCCUAGGACUUGGGCUGGAGAGUGUGGAUCUCGGUGGAUCGGGUGGGAUCCGGAUGGGAUCUGAGCGGACAGCCGGCCGUGGUCUCCCAGACAACCCCCGACCGUCGCCACAGGCUGGCACGGCGGCGUAGACGGCAGCGCGCACACCCAGGAGCCCCUCUCCGAGCGCGCCCCCUCCCUCAUCCCCCAACUCCUCAACCCCUGAGCGCGCUCCACCUUUCCCGGCUCCUCCCUCCAAGAACCCUCCUCCCUCCGGCUCCGCAGCCCGGGCGCCCUUCCUCCCCUCCCUUCCUCGGCUCCCACUUCCCUCCACCUCCCCGUGCCUCGCUCCUCCCGACCACCACCUGAACACCUAGCGCCCGAGCGCCCUCUGGGGACCUCCACCCUUGAAGGCCACGCGCCCCCACCGGCGAGCGGGCGCCCUGGCUCCGGCUCCGCUCCCUCCGUCCCCGCCCCCUCGGGC
rnacentral:lncRNA from 1 species